UACGUAGGUGACCAGCGUUGUCCGGAUUUACUGGGCGUAAAGAGCGCGCAGGCGGUCGAUUUAGUCGCGUGUGAAAGCCCCCGGCUCAACUGGGGAGGGUCACGCGAUACUGAUCGACUCGAAGGCAGGAGAGGGUAGUGGAAUUCCCGGUGUAGUGGUGAAAUGCGUAGAUAUCGGGAGGAACACCAGUGGCGAAGGCGACUACCUGGCCUGUUCUUGACGCUGAGGCGCGAAAGCUAGGGGAGCAAACGGG
rnacentral:rRNA from 1 species